GCACAACGCGAAGAACCUUACCUGGUCUUGACAUAGUAAGAACUUUCCAGAGAUGGAUUUGGGUGCCUUCGGGGAACUUACAUACAGGUGCUGCAUGGCUGUCGUCAGCUCGUGUCGUGAGAUGUUGGGUUAAGUCCCGCAACGAGCGCAACCCUUUCCUAUUUGCCAGCGGGUUAAGCCGGGAACUUUAAGGAUACUGCCAGUGACAAACUGGAGGAAGGCGGGGACGACGUCAAGUCAUCAUGGCCCUUACGACCAGGGCUACACACGUGCUACAAUGGUCGGUACAAAGGGGUUGCUACCUAGCGAUAGGAUGCUAAUCUCAAAAAGCCGAUUGUAGUCCGGAUUGGAGUCUGCAACUCGACUCCAUGAAGUC
rnacentral:rRNA from 1 species